rnacentral:rRNA from 1 species
UGCCGAAGCGGCCGUGCCUGAACAUGCAGUCGAACGAGGGCGUCUUUGUAGCAAUACAGGGGCGUUCCUAGUGGCGAAUGGGUGAGUAACACGUUGGUGACCUGCCCCGAAGUGGGGGACAACAGUUCGAAAGGACUGCUAAUACCCCAUGUGAUCCAGGGAGCUAGAGUGCCCUGGAUGAAAGGAGCAAUCCGCUUCGGGAGGGGCCUGCGGCCCAUCAGCUAGUUGGUAGGGUAACGGCCUACCAAGGCAACGACGGGUAGGGGGCCUGAGAGGGUGGUCCCCCACACUGGCACUGAAACACGGGCCAGACACCUACGGGUGGCAGCAGUAGGGAAUAUUGCACAAUGGGCGAAAGCCUGAUGCAGCAACGCCGCGUGCGCGAUGAAGGCCUUCGGGUUGUAAAGCGCUUUUCGGGGGGAUGAGGAAGGACAGUACCCCCGGAAUAAGUCUCGGCUAACUACGUGCCAGCAGCCGCGGUAAAACGUAGGAGACUAGCGUUAUCCGGAUUUACUGGGCGUAAAGCGCGUGCAGGCGGUUUGGUAAGUCGGACGUGAAAACUCCUGGCUCAACUGGGAGAAGCCGUUCGAAACUACCAGACUUGAGGGCAGUAGAGGGAGGUGGAAUUCCGGGUGUAGUGGUGAAAUGCGUAGAUAUCCGGAGGAACACCAGUGGCGAAGGCGGCCUCCUGGACUGUCCCUAACGCUUAGACGCGAAAGCUAGGGGAGCGAACGGGAUUAGAAACCCCGGUAGUCCUAGCCGUAAACGAUGUAGACUGGGUGUUGGUGGUGUAAAAGCCAUCAGUGCCGAAGCAAACGCGAUAAGUCUACCGCCUGGGGACUACGGCCGCAAGCUA